rnacentral:rRNA from 1 species
UACAGAGGUCUCAAGCGUUGUUCGGAUUCAUUGGGCGUAAAGGGUGCGUAGGCGGCGCGGUAAGUCGGGUGUGAAAUUUCGGAGCUUAACUCCGAAACUGCAUUCGAUACUGCCGUGCUUGAGGACUGGAGAGGAGACUGGAAUUUACGGUGUAGCGGUGAAAUGCGUAGAUAUCGUUUGGAACGCCAAUGGUGAAAACAGGUUGCUGGGAGUGUGCUGACGCUGAGACACGAAAGCCAGGGGAGCGAACGGG